AUGCAGGCCGCCGCCUCCUGGGGCAAGGGCCUCCCCGGCCUGCGGAGCCACCUCUGCGCCGCCGCGUCGUUCCACUCCACGCCCCCCUCCCCCGCCAAGUGGAAGGGCAAGUUCGGUUGCAAGCAUGAACAUGGAGAACGGAAGCUAUCCAAGAAAUAUGAGCGAUACGUUGUUCGUCAAAAACGAGCAGAAGGAAAGAAGGCCCUGCAAAAUUACCUUCUGUAUGGAAAGUCAACACCUCAUAUAGAGGAUGGAAGUAUGGGCAGCUUUGCUAAUUCGCAUGAUAUUCCACGAUUCAAAACGUUCAGAAAAAAACAGGAUCACAGUUCAACAAAACCUCGACAAGGAGUACACCAUCAAAGAAAGGACAAAAAGGACAAGGCGAAGUUCUACAACUUUUUCUACGAAACCCGUUAUGUGAAUCCUGAAAAUAUUUUUGAGACCAUCUUUGGCGAGCAUCACCAGAGUUUUACCUGGUCCCAUGCUUCAUGGGAGGGUUUUCACUUCAGGGCUUCAUCGUUUGGAUUCAGACGGGCUGGUGAAUCACGAAGACAAAGAGUUGAAAGCGAGAGCGAAGACGAAAGCGACGACGACGACACGGGUGAGACAGCCGGCGUUGGCUCACAUGCGCACAGGGUCACCCUUGGAUUGCCACCUCGUGGUCCACUAACCCUAGAUGAUGUCAAAACAGCCUUCCGCGCGUCUGCUCUGAGGUGGCACCCUGACAAGCACCCGGGCUCUUCACAGGCUGUAGCCGAGGAGAAGUUCAAGCUGUGCGUCAAUGCAUACAACUCGCUCUGCGCCGUCCUCAAGGCCGCGUGA
rnacentral:rRNA from 1 species